GUGCACAAAUUGUCUACUAUACUCAACUACUCAGAAGUGAAUAAACUUCACAGGUAACUUAUCUGCUGUAGUUAAUAUGACCACAGUGCAUUAAGAGGAAAGACAAAGCUGUCACGAAAAAGGAUAAAGUCCUCGAGUUCAGAUCUUAAUUGGAGAAGGCUGAUUUCAACAGCAUAAUGCAGGAGCUGGGAACAGCUGACAGAGGGAUAAACAACAUCCAUUUAAAGCCACAGCAGACGGUGAACCUCGACCUUCGACAUCGAGGCAGGCAAACAUAAAAGGUGACUUGCUUGCCCUGAUGGAAACAGACAAUGAUGAGAUGACACCCCAGUCUCCCACCACCCCCACCUCCGACGACUCAGCCUAACACACCAUCAUCAGUAUCCUCGCUGUCUUCCCGAUUCCGAUUUGAUCUACAAGCAAUACAACAAAAUUAUUAGUGAUUUCCUAUGGGCUAAGAAGAAGCCCAGAAUUAAAAUGCGUAAGAUGUGUAUGUCCAGGGACAUGGGUGGGCUCAGUCUACCAGGCGUCAGGGCAUAUAAAUUAUCCUUUGAAAUGACCAAGUUAGCUAAAACUUGGGACAGGGCUGAUGUUGAUUUAGAUUGAGUACCGGUAGUUAUAGAUGGAGCUUGGCUGCACCACAUUCUCUCCUUAACAUUCUCUCACAACAUAUGGAAAACAAGACUAAUCUAAAUCCUAUACUAUGUCAUUCAAGGAGUGUGUGGUGUACAAUUCAUAAAGCUUGUAGAAGGUCACAUUUAAACCAGUUAUACUCCUCGCUCUGGAAUAACCCUGCAAUAUGCAUUGGGAAAAGAACAGUGUACUGGAAAGAAUGGAAGAUUAAAGGUGUAAAUACAGUAGGUCAUCUCUAUGAGAAUGGGAUUUUUAUGUCAUACAUGGAUUUGAAGAGGAAAUAUAACUUUGUAGAUAAAGGGAAUUUCUGGAAGUAUUUACAAAUAAGACAUUGCGUUAGUAGCAUAUUCAAGAAUGGCGGCCCACAAAGUAACCCUUUAACUGAAUACUUUACAUUACCACAGGAAGUUCAUAAAGCAUGUGUUUUAUAAAAUGUUCAAGCACUCUGUGGGUGAACCGUGUAACAAUUUCCAAGCAGUAUGGCAGAAGGAUCUUGGAAGUGAUAUUGAAGAUAAUGAGUGGCCAAAUACUUUAUCAAAUAUGGGUAGACAUAUUAGGGAAACGAGAAGGAAAUUUAUUCAGUAUAAGAUGGUACACAUAUUAUUGGACACCAACUAGACUCUACAAAAUGGGGGUUGUUGAUAAUAGCUUAUGCUGGAAAUGUAAAAAUGAGGUGGGCACAUAUUUUCACAUGAUUUGGGAGUGUUCCAUGGUUUGUCCAUUUUGGUGUAAAGUUCUUGAUUUGUUGGGGAAUUGGUCAAGUUCUACACUGCCCCUGGGCCCACGGCUUUGUCUCCUGGGUGACAGGACGAUGAUCCCUAAUGUAAACAAUGACAAAUGUACAAUUUUAAAGGUGGGUCUCAUCACAGCUGCAAGAAUUAUAUUGCAAAACUGGGAAAAACCCAGAUGUCCCACUGUGAGGGAAUGGACUGAGGAAAUGGUUAAGAUUUCAUCAUAUGAACACAUGUUGGGAAGAAUUAACAGUGAGGGAAGAGUGCAAGAUGUGUGGGAUCAACUUUGGUUGUAUGUUAAUUUAAACUUAAAUUAGAACUUUUUUUUCUGUUUCCUAGUUUUAUGUU